UAACAAGGAUUCCCCUAGUAACGGCGAGCGAAGCGGGAAGAGCUCAAAUUUGAAAGCUGGCGUCUUCGGCGUCCGCGUUGUAAUCUCGAGACGUGUUUUCCGUGCGGCUCUAUGGACAAGUCCCUUGGAACAGGGCAUCGUAGAGGGUGAAAAUCCCGUACUUGCCAUGGAAGUACCGUGCUUUGUGAUACACGCUCCAAGAGUCGAGUAGUUUGGGAUUGCUGCUCAAAGUGGGUGGUAGACUCCAUCUAAAGCUAAAUAUCGGGGAGAGACCGAUAGCGAACAAGUACCGUGAGGGAAAGAUGAAAAGCACUUUGGAAAGAGAGUUAAAAGUACGUGAAAUUGUCGAAGGGGAAGCACUUGAAGUCAGCCAUGCUGCUUGAGACUCAGCCUGGCUUUUGCUUGGUGUAUUUCUCGGUAGCAAGCCAGCAUUGGUUUGUGUCGUCGGAGAAGCGUAUGGGGAAUGUGGCAUCCUCGGAUGUGUUAUAGCCCUGUGCAGGAUACGACGACGUAGACCAAGGAACGCAGUGUGCCCUCUGGGCGGGUCUUCGGACACCUUCACACUUAGGAUGCUGGCGUAAU
rnacentral:rRNA from 1 species